GGCACUAUGAUGGAAAACAUACAUUCAUCAACUAGACUCCGGUCGAUGCUGUUGAUAGUUAACCUUCUUUCGGGUCUGACAUUGCC
rnacentral:snoRNA from 1 species